UACGUAGGGUGCGAGCAUUAAUCGGAUUUAUUGGGCGUAAAGGGCGCGUAGGCGGGGAAGUAAGUCAGAUGUGAAAUCCCGGGGCUCAACCUCGGAACAGGCAUUUGAAACUACUUCUCUAGAGGGUAGGAGGAGAAAACGGGAAUUCCACAAGUAGCGGUGAAAUGGCGUAGAUAUGUGGAAGAACACCGGUGGCGAAGGCGGGUUUUCUAUCUUAUACCUGACGCUAAUGCGCGAAAGCAAGGGGAGCAAACAGG
rnacentral:rRNA from 1 species